rnacentral:rRNA from 1 species
GCAUUAAUCCUAACCCAAGGGACUUGGCGGUGCAAUAGAUGAUCCGCGAACUUCUUACCUUCUCUUGUAUAAGUUUUCCUUUAGGGGGGACUUAUGUCAGUUUGCAUACCGCCGUUUUCAGCUUGUAUCGCGAGGUAAAAGAAACAGGCUAUUCAGUAAGUGAACGUUUGUCUACGCAGGUGAAAUUUAUGUUUUACCCGGGGGCAAUGGGACUGCUAGGAAUUCAGGUAAAAGUGCAGCCUAUGGGAAGGGGGCAGCUGGGUUACAGUUGGUGUUUGAAUUGGAGUGUAGUCCGAAGUGGCUGUGUGAAAGAGUACUUGGAAGUAAUGACUUUAGGCAAUGGAGUCGUGAAUAGUGCUCUAGUGUGUGU